GCAAAGCUGGGCUGGGAAAGGCUUUCCAGAGGAAGUGACACCUAAGCUGAGGCCGGAAGGGUGAGUGGAGGUUGGUGAGGCACAGAAUGGAAAGAAGAGUGUUCUGUGUGGAAGGAUUGCAGUGCAAAGGUGUCGAGAGAAGAGGGGGCAGCUUCUCAUUUUCUGCUUUGAACACGUAAUGCAUGGGGAUUUAAAGAGAAAGAAGAACAAACGUUAGGAAAAGUCAAGCAAGAAUGAUUUCACGUGAGUGUGCGCUAACCACCUGGGCCUCCCUGGCUCCUGCCACACCUGCUGAAGACAGGAUUAGGUCAUGUCCUCCCUCAGUGAAGAGGAGAGCCUGCCAAAUUGGAGUGACUGCUCUCCCAGGGGUAUCGGGCACAGGUAACUCAUUCCCCCCACACCGCCAAGCUGAAAGUGUAUUGAUGUUUGCACUUAUGGUGAAAAAGAAAAAGUGGAAAAACCUGCUGGUGCCAUAGCACAAAUCAAGGCAGUGCACCAAACAGCACUCGUGGUCCCUGCAUUCUUCCAGUGGAAAAAAAAAUGCCAUUUCACUUCAUCAUGUCUUUGAUGAAGCAGAAUAAUCAUUAUCUUUGUUAAAGCUCAAGGCUUGAGCACGUAUCUUUUUAGAUUCUGCAUGAGGACAUGGGACGAUGACAUCAUUCACUUCUACACAUGUCCAAGUUCCUUGUUUGUCUCAAGGAAAGACACUGGCACAAACAACUGAGUUGCAAUCUGAUAUAAACUCUUCAUGGAUUACCAUUUGUACUUGGAAGAACAACUGAAAAGCUAUAAGCAUUCAGACGUGGAUAACUGGCAGACAUGGUCUCAAAAAUUAAUUAAGUGAACCUGUUACGUAAAGGCAAACAACUGACAGUGUUUGUUGCCAAUGGUAACAGUCAAGCUUUUGAGUGAAAACUGGGACUUUGGAAAACACAUGUUAUUUUUAACUUGCCAGCUUCCCAAUCCUUACAGACUUUUCUGAUGAGAUCUAUGGUGACAUUAAUGAAUGUGGUAUUUUGAUGUUAUCUAAAAAAUUUGUCAGUAUCUGACAAAUAAUUCAGAUUCAAUAAUUCCCUGAUCUGCAUAAUUCAGGGAACCAAUAUUUCUUAAAUGUCCAAAGCAUCAUGUUACAAAAUCAUGCACGGGUAAAACAUUGAUUCAAAGUGUAAAAUAGCCAAUGGAUUUUAAGGUAACAUAGUAUGAAAAUUUCACUGAUAUGGUUUCAGAUUUCAGAUUACAACUUUUAAAGAACCUGACAGUAAAGUCUUGACAGUAUCAAAAAACCUAUUGUGUACAUCUCCCUUUUCCAACUACAUAUCAGCAUGAGGCUAAAUUUUUUUCUUAUAUUGCAGGCAACACAGUGAAUACAGAAUUAUGGGAUUAUGAGAAUCUGUCUAUUAAGUCACAUAUUAAAAAGAUUUGCAAAAAUGCCGCUCUUCUCAGUAACUUGU